AAAUAGCCCCGAUUGUAGUGGAAAUAAAAGCAGUUUUUUCUUUAAAAACUGCUUUUAUUGCAGCGAAAGCGGGAAAAUGG
rfam:Flavobacterium aquatile LMG 4008 contig3, whole genome shotgun sequence.